rnacentral:lncRNA from 1 species
UUUUGCUAAUACUUCACUUGAAGUAAAAGACCUGUCAGCAUCAUCAUCUCCUAAAUCCUGUGUAUAUUAAAAAAAAUAAAAUGAAACCAAUCUCAAAGGAAACUAGGGCAUAUCAAAAACCUCUCUGCAUCCUGCUUCAUUUGUGUAAUCUUCAAGAGGAGUUUUGUUAGUCAUUUGUGUUGUCAUUAUAGAAGUUAGGAAAAGGUCCUUUUACUGCCUGGGUUGUUAGAGAGGCCUUUCAAAAAUUCUAAUGAAGUAUGCUCUGAACUGUUGACAUCUUGUGUGGAGUCAGAGUGCUUCUGAGAUAAUACAUGAAAGUCAGAGCACAAAAGCAACUCUUUCCAGGCCUGGUGCUUGGAGGAACAAUGGAUAAAGCAAUCUAUAGUGGUGGUGUACUUUCUGUCUCUUAGCAAUCUUGCCAAUCCAUUAAUAACCAGACAGGCCUUACACUUCAAGGGUCUUUAAAAAACCAAACCACUAAGUUGUUUCUAGAUAUUUCAUUCCCACUCAACACUCUUAAGGUUUGUAGUUUCCUGCAGGAAUCAGGUGUAUUUUUAAGAAAAGAUCUGAUUUUCCAUGAGUGUGAAUCUGUCAGAGAUGAGAUUAGGUCGGUCGUGUGUUGGCAGCAUUGAAAACCACCCUUGACUAUAAGAAGUGUUCUGCUCUCCUGGCAGAAGACUGGAUCCUGUGGCAGUUUAUGUGUGUGCUUAAUACUAAACAUUGUGGGUGAUUCUGUUGAUGUAAGGGAUAGUAGUCCAGUGCAGGGUAAAAGUAGGGGUGCAUGUGUACUGAAGAUCAAGAGAGGGCUGCAAGUAACCAAGAACUGCACUGGGAAAUGGUUUAAGAAAAAUAAGAAAUUUUAGCACCAAAGAAAAUGACUGCAUAAAAGAUGAAUUAACUGUAGUUUUCACAGUAGGUAGGGCUGGGUGAGUAGUUGUAAUUAUUUUGGCAGAUACAUUGUUACCCUGCUAUAAUUUUGCUUUCAGGAUCAUACUGUGGCUUCAUUGCUGUAGACGAAUUUGUAUCCCUACUUCAGAACAGCUGUUAGAUGAGCAAGAAUUUCCUCAGCUGAACGCACACUGGAAGCAAACUUGGCUCUGGAAAGGCAGCAAUAGAAAAUGUAAAAACAAACCCAGAAAGGAAGUAAAUGAAGCCAAAGGGAGAGCAGGGUAGUUUUGGGUAAUGAACAGUAAAAGAAUGAUGUGGAACUUAAGGAAGAAGUGUAAUGAAAGGGCACAAAAG